rnacentral:lncRNA from 1 species
CCAUGAUAACAUAGUAAAUGAAAAAAACAAAUCAUCAGAUUCACAUCCCAAAUGUAUGGCUACGAUUAUUGAGUAAACCUUGCGAAUAAAAGACCACCGGAGUUCCGGCGACUCCGUCAUCGGACCACAACUUCAUGUCGCGAUGUGGUGGAGGAGGGUUUGAGCAGAUCUAGAAGUCGAUCAACCGUGAUUUUAUUGAAUCUGCUGGAAGAACCCACCGGAUCUCCAAAGAAUCGUUAUCUCCGGCGACGGUUAAGCAGCCGGAGAUCGGCGUCGUCGCUGCCGGUGAAUGUGCCGAACUGACAUCGAUGAUGAUGAUGAGGAGGAUGAUUGUAGCGUUGGUUAACCGGUGAGUUGAAUCGCCGGGGGAAGAUUCUCGGGUAAGAGAUUGUUAUGCGCGACGGUAGGAACCGUGGCCGGUGAUAAUUGUGUUAGUAGGCUACGUGUAUUAAUUAAUGUUAAAUUCAUAUGUAUGUGUUAUUUAAAGGAGUUUAGUUUUCAGUAUACUAAACCUAGAUUAAUAUAAAACUUUCUGCAAAUCCUUAAAAGUAGGGUAUUUUCGUGGCAGGACAAUCUUGUCUAGAAAAAUAUCCGCAUGAAAGCGAUCCGGUGUUUGGUGUUUAUACUUUAUAGCCUUUUGGGUUUGGAAAAAUUGAUAAUUUGAAGUAAAAGGAAGGGCCUACAAAUGCUUAAAAAAAAUGAGGGCACUCUGCGAAUCUUAGGUCUGGCCGUCUCUUAUCUUAGAUGUUUGAUAAGGUUUUGAAACAACAAGCAGAGACUAACGAAAAAAAAUGUGAUUUGGAUAUUGUGUAUUCGAUUCUAAAAAACGUUAAUGGAUUGUGAUAUUUUUGAUUUCGUUUCUGUCCUAAAUCACAAAAAUAGGGCAGUCCUAAUAUGUUCUAAAGUCCAAACGAAAAAUUGCUAGAAAAAUUUAUAGUGUAC